GAGCCGUUUGUUGCUAUGGCAACGAGUCCGAGUGUAGCUAGCCGACACGGAAAGUGGGGGGAUACGAGUGGUUUUGAGUUGUUCUUCGACGGUUUUUCUGAGUUAUUUUUCCCUUUGCUGUGGCGCACUGCUCUAAAUUAAGGUUUCAUUUAGUUAACGGAACAUUUCUACAGCGGCAGCGCGACUGCGGAUGGCAAGGUAAAGCAUCGUCUUUUUGCCUUCGCGAAAUUUCCGGAUCUAAACAAUAGCAUGAAACGUGUCGAAAUGGUGUUAAUCUUCUGGGAAACAAUUCCUUUCGCUUCGCUCUUAUCUUUGACUCGCAGCAGUCGCUGCCGGAAGCGCGUUAGUCUCGAAGGCAGCAAAGUCCUCGAUCAUCCCCAGCUAUUCAACAGGAACUUCGCCAUAACGCCGGAAAUAAUCGCCGCUUUAUAAAUCACUUGAUUUCUCAGGUUUAUAUAAGGCAUCAUUAUGUUAAUUACACAACUGAAACUUGUGCAAAGGUGGUAUAUUAAUAAAAGACAAGAUCUCAGAUA